UGUAGCUGUGGGGAGAGGUCGGGAUUCGCCUCCCCUCGGCUGACCAUGCACCCAAGCGUCUCUGGCAGCCGCUGCUCCGGCCGCUGGCCUUUUCCGAAGCAGCGCAUCUGGCUAGGGAGACCCCCCGGGCCGGAGUCGGGGGGUGCAGCUCUGAGUGCACAACCCGCUGUCCUCCCCGAGGCUCACCUUCCUCAUCCCGCAGCCACCCCAGCAGCCCAUGUCAUUUUGAAGAUUAAACGGGGUUUGACAAGCAGAAAACCAGUGGUGUGCAAAGAUGCCAUUGUCCCUGCAGAUUCUGAAGAACAAUACAGCUGUCGAGUUGGGGACCUGAGGAAGGCUCCAGGACUCUCUCCCCCGGGAACAGUGUGAUUGGCUCUGUCAGGACAUCACUAAGGUUUCUUAGAGUGGAACAUAGGAUGUGACAGAAAAGAGCUCCCGGUUCUCCCACCAAUACCCUGAUUCCUCAUCACAAGUUCUGGGACGGUCUUCUUCAGCUAUGUGCACAGC